rnacentral:rRNA from 1 species
UAGUCAUAUGCUUGUCUAAAAGAUUAAGCCAUGCAAGUCUAAGGAUAAACAAUGUUUACCGUAAACCUGCGAAUAGCUCAUUAAAUCAGUUAUAAUCUAUUUGAUAAUUAAAUUCUUAAUUGGAUAACCGUAGUAAUUCUAGAGCUAAUACAUGCAUUAAAGUUCAAACUUUAUCCGGCAACGGGUAAGGAAUGAACGUAUUUAUUAGAACUAUCAAAAACUAAUUUUACAGUUAUGCUUGUUCGAAAGGAUGAGUGUGCUGUAAAAAACGUUAUCUUUUAAAGGAUGAAUCAUGAUAAAUUUACGAAAUCGAAAUCUUUAAUUUUAAAGGUUUUGAUGAUGCAAAUGAGUUUCUGACCUAUCAACUUUCGAUGGUAGUGUAUUGGACUACCAUGGUUAUGACGGGUAACGGAGAAUUUGGGUUUGAUUCCGGAGAAAAAGCCUGAGAGACGGCUAUUACUUCCAAGGAAGGCAGCAGGCGCGUAAAUUACCCAAUCCCAAUUCGGGGAGGUAGUGACAAGAAAUACUGAUAUUGAUCCCUACGGGAACAGCGAUUGGAAUGAGAACAAUUUAAAAAACUUAACGACUAACAAUUG